UUGUUAUAUAUAUGUCCUGCUUCCUUCGAGUUUAGUGUUGUACUGAUCUCUUCUCUUUUUUGUCUUGUGCCGGCUCUUGAGAACCUUUUUGUAUACCGCCGCUUCCCAUUCUUCGUUUCAGUUUCAACUUGCGUGCAAUGUGACGUGGGUCUUUAGAUACAGCUAAACUGACUCACAUGUCCCCAGGUUGCCAUCGUAUAAUUUGAGAAGCCAUAAGUUAAAUUCAAUUUCUGAAGCUUAUAAAGGUGAAUGAAGUAUGAAGUGUGACGUAUUGAUUUGAGGCGACCUGGGGACAUGUGAGUCAGUUUAGCAAUGUGUAUACAACACAACACUGUCGUACCUGUAGAAGCAUUUCACACACAUUAAGGUCAUGUGCCCCUCUCCCCCUAAGCAUGCAGUCAUUGAUCAAGCUGGCAAGCAGGUCAUGGAAUGGUUAUUUGCCUGUUGCACCCUACCAUUUAGCAAUCAGAGAUAAUAAAUGCCUGUGUUUUGCAUGACCCUGUACCUGUUUUGGUAAAGGAGCGCCAAUAAAAUGCAGUCUAGACAAUAAAAGCUAGCUGUGCUUUUGUGAGUUGUGAAUCCAGGCUAAGGCUGCCAUAUUAAUGGGGAGAAGCAUGAGGUCACUGACACACACCGUCUUCACUCUGAGAGAAAGAGGCGAAGAGGCAGGAAGGCUUCCUAGUGAGGACCUCUGGAAUCACUAACACCAUACCAAGGAUGAAGAUUUGCGGAAAGUGAUCCAGUUCCAAAUGGCUGGUUGGAGCCAGGAUGGAGUGUGUGUCAACCCGGUGGCCCUCAUGAAAGUGCUGGAUAAACUAAUGAUAGCUCAGAGGAGAACCGGAGACAAACCCAUUAUCGUGCAUGGAAGGUUCGGAGAUCAACACCGUGGGCAGGUGUGCCGUGUUCUGUGCCCUGCUCAACUGCAUUGACUCUUAAGAGCAAAUGUGAGAGCGUUGUCGAUGUGUUCCAGGCUACAAAAACCGGGAGCCAUACAAACUGUGGAGCAGUACUGCUGUGUGUACGACCUCAUAUCUCUUUAUCUCAGCUCAUUCUCACACUCUACUCAAACUUCAAGUGAACAAAUAACGAACUCAGUCAGUCAAACAUUCUCAAUGUACUCAUUUAAUCAUUACACGCUAUUGUUAUAGUCACCCACUCAACAACAGGCUCUAUAAGUUUUAUACGCUGCUGUGUACGUUUAUUGCCCGUAAUUGUCAGUUGUAUUUGCCCGAUAUGG